AGAAAAGAAACUAACAAGGAUUCCCCUAGUAACUGCGAGUGAAGCGGGAAAAGCUCAAAUUUGAAAUCUGGCGUGUCUUUUGGCCGUCCGAGUUGUAGUCUGGAGAAGCGUCUUCCGCGCUGGACCGUGUACAAGUCCCUUGGAACAGGGCGUCAUAGAGGGUGAGAAUCCCGUCUUUGACACGGACUUCCAGUGCUUUGUGAUGCGCUCUCAACGAGUCGAGUUGUUUGGGAAUGCAGCUCAAAAUGGGUGGUAAAUUCCAUCUAAAGCUAAAUACAGGCGAGAGACCGAUAGCGAACAAGUACCGUGAGGGAAAGAUGAAAAGCACUUUGGAAAGAGAGUUAAACAGUACGUGAAAUUGCUGAAAGGGAAACGCUUGAAGUCAGUCGCGUCUGCCAGGACUCAGCCUUGCAUUUGCUUGGUGCACUUUCUGGUAAGACGGGUCAGCAUCGAUUUCGAUCAUCAGAGAAAGUCAGAGGGAAUGUGGCACCUCUCGAGGUGUGUUAUAGCCUUUUGUUGCAUGUGAUGGUUGGGAUCGAGGACCGCAGUACGCCUUCGUGGCUGGGGCAUUGCUCACACGACGUGCUUAGGAUGCUGGCUUAAUGGCUUUAAGCGACC
rnacentral:rRNA from 1 species